rnacentral:misc_RNA from 1 species
GCACUUGUAUCUUAUUUCCAUAUCAGCCAUUCGAGCAAGCUCUCCUGAUAUGUCAAUUUUCAAAUUAGCACCACUAAGUUUUUUAUCCCGGCACUUAUCUGCAUCUUCACCCCCUUCAAACAGCCAUGAAACAGAUUCUUCUACUUUACCAUCAUUUAAUAUUAAAGCCACUGUAGCUUGCUCAUGUGAAAAUCCCAUCACAACAAGCUGUUGAGCAAGUGCUUCUAGCUUUCUUGACAUGAGAUAGCCACUACACCGCUCAUGCAAUUCCUGGACUCGCCUCUCCUUUUGACGCUGAUGC